GUAGGAAUCUGUUAUGUAUGUAUGUUACAUUUGUUUCUUAAGAAUAGUCUUUUCAUAGCACUAGACUAAAAGACUUUUCGGUCUUUUUCUAAAUAUUUUGCAUUCAUGGAUAUGAAAUGGGAAUAUUUUAGUUUUCAUAGUAUCAAGAUUUGUAAGAACUUACAGCAAAAUAAUAAUGUAUACUAAGAUAAUUUCUGUUUCAUAAAUUGUUUUGUACUGAUUGAAAUUACUCCUGUUCAUGUACACUAAUAUUUAAGUAUUUGUCUUCUCCUAAGGUCCAAGAUAACAGGUUGUUUUUGCCAGUGGAUCUCCAAUUUUAGCAUGCAUCCAAAAUGCCUGGAAGAUGCUGAGUCUCACCCUGAGCUUCUGACUCAGUGUAUAUUUAGAAAUGUUUCCAUGGUCACUGUUUCCAGUUUGGACGUCUGUCAUUUGGCUGUUGCAGCCUGCAGGAGAUACCCAAGGAAUGAGUAAUUCUCAAAAACGUGGCUUUGAAUUUGAGCUUCAUAUAGAAUUUUGAACAAAGAACAGUGCAUUUUUAGGGAUGUGACAAGAGACAAAGGAAAAGGACUUUAACUCUCUAUGGCAAUUUAUAGGAAGGCAAAUGACCAUCAGAUAAAUGCUGGAAUUGGAACUCCACGAGGGAAGAAUUGUUUCUUACUCAUUUUUGCACCCAUCUUCAAGCCCAGUGCUUCUAAUGUAUUUGACAUGCACAUUUGAAGGAGCACAUGAGAAAGCCACCUGACUAGGCAGUGUGAUAGGAUUGCUGAUUUCUGCUGAUGGCCAUGCCUACCUUACUCUCGGAUUCUGGGAUUUUACAUUUGCAUGAAACAUCUCUCCUUGUGCUAACUCCUGAUUUGAUCUGCAUAACAUCACCAAAGUGUUUCUAGUCAUCUAGAGUUCUUGGAAACUGAGGCCGUGAAUCAUUGAAAGACCUAUUGGAAGCAUUUUGAGAAACUGGGUGCCCAUCUGGCCUGUCAUUGGCAGGGGCUCUGGACUGGGAUGGAAGUCUCCCAUAUCCAUGUGUCUGGGCAAAAUGCAAAUGGCGGUAACCACAACCAGCUCCUUAUUUCUCACUGAUGGUGCUCAGAGACCCAGCAACAUUCACCCUGGAAGUAAUCCAGUGGUUUUGACAUAAACUCUGAGGUGGGGCUUGGUUUUUCAAGAAACCUCUGCUGCCAAGGCAAGUUGAUUCCGAAUGCUGGGAACCAUGAAGUGGCCACCACCACAUGGAGCAGUUGAGACCCACAGUGAGAGAUGGAGUCUCACAAUGUUACCCAGGUUGGUUUCUAACUCCUGAUUUCAAGUGAUCCUCCCAUGUCAACUUCUCAAAAUGCUGAGAUUACAGACAUGAGCCACUGUGCUUGGCCUCCUAUGUUCUGAUUCUAAAUUUGGAUCUUAAACUACUGAAUAAGGAGGAGUCUUUUAAUUACUCUCCAGACUCAAGCCUUUGUUUAAUUGUAUCUCUUUGUCAUUGUGAUCUAUACUUAAUCAAUUUAACCUUGAACCAGCCUGAUACCAUGGGACAUUGUGAACCCAACAGCACAGAACUGUGUCAAUGUUUCAAGUCUUUGGCACGAAUUUGUGGCUUCUCUUAACCUAAAUUAAACUCUUCAACAUAUAAUUAUCCAUCCUACACAUUAAGCCUGUCUCCAAGGUAAAUGUUUCUGCAUGAAUAAAAGCUGGUUUACAGCACAAAAACAGGCCCUCUUUUUUCUGCUUUCUCCCUGUCCCCACCACCAGAAAAAUUGUGCAUCCUUACUCAGAACUCUGUUCUUAGAGCUUUGGUGCCAUAAUGCUUCUAACUUUACUGAUUACAUAAAGAUAAAAGUUAGACAAAGCAUUUAUUGCUCCAUUUUUCUCUUUUUCUUUCUUUCUGCAGCUUCAGGGGAAAAUGUCAAGAUUUGUUAAUAGCAAAAAAAUUGGACUUAAUAAAAUAUUAAGAGACCCAGCUGAAAUGGUUUACAAUGCUACUGAAGGAAAAGAAUACUUCACAAAAUUAGCAGCUGGAUGGGUUAUCUACAAGUGUGUAUUGCUUAAGACAUGAUGAGGCUAUACUGAAUGUUUGGCUGGAAUGAGUAAUUGACAGUGUUGGUUCCAAAUCUUAGUGAGACCUGUGCCAAACCUUGGUUUCUGGGAGUCUUCACAAGCAUCAUGAAUAGAUGAAAGCUUUUAUAUUUAGUUGUUGUGCUGUUUCACUUCAAUAGCAGAAAGGAUAAAGGACAGAGGCAGAUAAGGAGUGGGGCAAGAGGGUAGAAAUGAGUCUGUAGUGAUCAUCCACCAACAGAAACAUCAUCUUGAAUCAACUCUUCACAUGCAACAAAAACCUUCACAAGAGCUAAGGAAACUAGGCGAAUAUCACAGUAUCUGGUUAUAGUAUAAUAAUACGAAAAGACACAUUGAAGAGGAUAGGAAGGAUAGUUUUACAGUACCUAUAUCACUUCUCCCCCAACUCUAGGCAGCACAGUGUGGAGAGAGAUACCAUUUGUUUGACAGAAAGAGAAGGAAGUAAACAUAGGACUUUUCCUGGGACUGCAAUACUGAGCCUGCCAAAGUAAAACCCAGUGCCAGGCAGAAUCUCUCAGCCCCUCACUCCAGGCUAGCAGUUGAAGACUGAACCUCUUCACCCAUCCAGGCACCGCACAGGAAUUCAUAUUCCUGUUAAAUGGACUUGAGUUUGGCCUACAUCACCAUCGAUCAACUACAGUGGCUGUGGAUACUGAAUAACAGACAGAGAGGCAUUUGUGGCUAUGGGCUUAGAAUUCAGCUUGAUGUUGCACCAGCCUCAGCAGUCAAGGGAUUUCAGACUGGCUGCAGUAAUCCUAGGCUUACAAUAUCCCCUAGCACUGCAAUGGCUGUGGCAGUCACAAGCAUAGGGACCACAAUAAAUGACCUGCUUAGAAUUUCUGGACAGGCUUACUGCUGAAGAACAGUCCAAGAUAAAACCGACCAUGAAAACUGGAAUAAGUACCUACUUCUUCAAUGCAUAGACAUUACUGUAUGACCAUAACAUCAAGAACAAUCAGUGAAACAUGGCAUUAUCAAAUAGACAAAAUAAAGUGCAAGUAAUGAACCCCAAAGAGAUGAAGAUAUAGAAAUUAUAUGAAAAGGUAUUCAAAAUAGCUAUUUUAGAUACUCAAUGAACUUCAAGAAAAUACAAGAAAAAUUUAAUGAAAUGAGAAAACUAUGAGUGACAGAACAAGAAAUUUAACAGAAAGUCUGAAAGAAUAACAAUUUUUAAAUCAAUCAAACAAAUUGUAGAGCUAAAAAUACAAUAAACAAAAUGAAAAAUGCAAUAGAGAUCAUCAAUAACAGAAUUGAUCAAGUAGAAGAAAGAAUCUGUGAACUCAAAGACAGGCUUUUUGAAAAUAUACAGUCAGAAGAGAAAAAAGAAAAAAGGGUAAAAAUGAAAGCUUAUGAGAUUUAUGGGUUAACAUUAAAAGAGCAAAUCUAUGAGACAUUGGUGUUCAAGAUGGAGUAGAGAAAGAUAAAAGAUAGAAAGUUUAUUAAAAAAAUAACAGCGGCAAACUUUUCAAACCUGGAGAAAGGUAUAAAUGUUCAGGUAUAAUAAUGUCAAAAGUUGCCCAGCAGAUUUAAUCCAAAUAAGACUACUCCAAGACAUACUGUAGUUACAAUGUCAAAGAUCAAAGAGAAAAAGAGGUUGCUGAAAGUAGCAAGAGGAAAGAAGCAAGUUACACAUAAGGGAGUUCUUAAAUAUCUAGCAGAUAAAGACAAUUCAAAGAAAGCAUUCUACCAAAAUAGCCAAUAAACAUAGGAAAAUGGGUUCAAACUAAUCAAUAAACCAGGAAAUACAAAUUAGAGCAAUCUAUCCAUUUUUGCCUAUCAAAUCAGCAAAUAUGUAAGAAACAAUAACAUCCAGGAUUAGUGAAAAUACUAGGAAGUUACUAUAGUCGGAAAGACUGGUUUUGCUUUUAGCUUCUCCUCUUUGGGCAUGCCAUUUCGUUUCUCUAAGACUAUUGUCCUCGGCUGUCAAAUGCAGAUAAUAUUAGUAACCACCUCACAGUCUUUUUGAGGGGAUUAAGUGAAAUAAUGCUUAUAAAGUUAAUAUAUCAUCUGGCAUAUAGCAAAUGCUCUGUUAAUAUUAGUAUUGUGAUGAUGAUUAUUAUUGGAAACUAGACUCUAAACACACUGAUGGAGAAGUAUAAGUUGGUAAAACCUUCCAGAAUAAAAAUUUGACAUAUAUACUAAUGAUUUAAUAUUGUGCAUACAUUUGACCUAAUAAUUCCACUUCUAAAAAUUUGUUCUGAGGAAACAGGACAUGAUGAUAUGUUUACAAAGAUAUCUUUUAUGAAAUUUUUUAUAUUGACAAAAACAUUGAAACAAUUUAAAGACCUAAUAGUAAGGGAAUGGAUACAAAUUAUGGUUUGUCUUUCUACUAAAAUUUCAUUUAGGUGUUACAAAGCAUGUUUUUUAAAGACUAUUUAAUGGCUGAGAAAAAUGAUACUAUGUGAAAAUAGUGGCUAUCAUUGGUCAGUAAAAUAGUAUUACCUGUUAUUUGUAUUUUUUAUUAAUACUCAUUUGUAGUUUAAAUUUUUCCUGUAGUCAGUCAAAUGCUUUUUUGACAUCUGUUGCAUAUUAGGUACUAUGCAAAGUGUCAUCAAUAUGGAAGGCACUGCACCCAUUCAGCUUCUAGUCCAUCCAUUGGAAAAUCUGGAAGAUGUGUUACUUUUUUUUUUUUUGUGACAGAGUCUCACUCUAUUACCAGACUGGAGUACAGUGGCACAAUCUUGGCUCACUGAAAUCUCUGCCUCCCAGGUUCAAGUGAUUCUCCUGUCUCAGCCUCCUGAGUAGCUGGGUUUACAGGCACGUGCCACCACACUCAGCUAAGUUUUUGUAUUUUUAGUAGAGACAGGGUUUCAGCACGUAGACCAGAAUGUUCUCGAUCUCUUGACCUCGUGAUCCACCUGCCUCGGCCUCCCAAAAUGCUGGGAUUACAGGCAAGAGCCACUGUGCCCAGCCAUGUUACUUUUAUAAAAAGAUGAUCAUUUCUAAAACAAAAAGGGAACUACUAUAUUAUUUUUCAAGGGCAGCCAUAACAAAAUGCUACAGAAAUUUAUUUCUCAGAGUGUGGGUAUGUUUUGUUUCUAAGAGACAGGAUCUCCCUCCAUUACCCAGGCUAAAUUGCAGUGGUGCAAUUAGAGCUCAUUGUAGCCUCCAACUCCUGGCCUCCAGUGAUCCUCCAGCUUGGCCUUCCAAAACUGGAUUAUACAUGUGAGCCACUGCACCCAGCCUAUCUCCCUUUUAAAACUAAAAUUGGGUAUGUAUAACUUUUGUUUAAAGAGUUACAUGAUUAUUUUCACUAUUGCUGUUCAUCAAUGACUCAUAUUUCCUGCCACACCAACCAAAGGCAGAUUUUAUUAUCAAAGAGUGCAUCUGAAUCUAGUCAGACACUAGGACACCAUCUCCUACCUUAGGGAGUCCUCCCAGAGUACCUAAUUGUGGGCCAAGAUAGGGUCCCUGGACUACACAGGGGUCCCCAAAUCUAGAACAGACUUGAAGUGCCAGGGAAACCCUGGAAUGCCACUGUUUUCCAGAGAUUAUUUACAACUGCCCGUAUAAGGUCACCUUCACCUAAACUGAAAUCACAGCUGCCAAUGCUAUGGCUUUCAAAGAGAGGUCCAUAUUCUUAGUCUUUAUAAAGGGGCUCUCAAAGGGGCUAAAAAUAUUCCACUGAAGGGAAAAGGAAGUGUAAAAAGUGAAAUAAAGGUUCCUCUUCAAAUUCUUUUAUCCUACUAAGAAUAGAUAGUAGUCUCUUUGUCUAAGUUAAUCUACUCUAAGGCCUUUGUUACCUCUGCUAGCUAAGAUUAAAAAAUUAAUAUAUUUUGCAUUCUUAGUUCUUACAUUUUAGCCUAGAUAUCUGCCCUGAGACUCCUGGAUAAGCCUGGGCAAGCCUUAGGUCAUAGCUUUUCCCCUUUUCUUAUUUGGAAGCAUUUUUGCCUGUCUCGGCAUUCCUUAAGCCACCUCCUCUUUCCCUUUGUUCUCCUCUGCUUUACCUCUUCAGGAAAGUUUUAAAUUGCUAGCCAGCCGGGUAUAGCCUAGAAUGUGAGGUCCAGUUUCAGACAAUGGAACCAGGACACAACAAUAGGGCCAGAUGUGUUAGAAUAAAUAUACCUGCUCUUCCUUUGUUCAGUGCACUCUCAUGGCAAGACUGCUGGUGAGCAGUGCCCUUUCUGCAGAAAGUAAAGGCCUUGCUGCAAAACCUUUUGUCUGAAUGCUGAUUCUUCCCUGUGUCAUUAGAAGAUAAGCACUUAUUCCCAACAGGAAGAAAUACAUAGUUUCUCAAAAAAGAAACUAUCAAGGAAGAAAUAUUACCACACGGUUUCUGUUACGGAUGACUUAUCUUCCCUAAGAAUUCAUAUGCUGAUGUCCUAACUCACAGGACCUCAGAAUGUGAUUGUAUUUAGAAACAGAGUCUUUAAGGAGAUAAUUUAAAAUAAGGUCUUAUGGAUGGGCCCUAAUCCAAUACGAUUGAUGUCUUUAUAAGAAGAGAACAUUUGGACAUAGUUACAGAAGAAAAGCCACAUAAAGACCCAGGGAGAAGACAGCUAUCUACAAGCUGAACAGAGCGGCCUCAGAAGAAACCAAUUCUACCAACACUUUCAAAACCAGCCCAGGCAACACAGUAAAGCAUCUUUACUUCCACUGUCUUCUCUUCGUAAAAAGACCUAGAGAAGCAAGGAUGAGAAGAAAGGAAAGAUGAAAAUCAGUGCAAGAUGCAUGGUCAUGCUCCUACCUCUUCAUGACAUCCCUGUGCCAAGAAGUAUGUCAGGUUUUGUGACUACAAAGAGGAAAAUGACACCAGCCCUGCCCUCCGGGACCUGCUCCAUGACCAAGAAGAGAGUCAGGUAAACAGACAAAACCAGCAUCUUUUGAGUGCACUACAGUGGCGUGGGGUCAAACAAAGCUGGAAGAAGAAAAUAGGCAUCAGGCAAAAGAAGCUUAGUUUAAUCAGAGCCUUUUAACCAACCAGCCCAUCUCUCUGUGUGACUCAGUCCUUUACUUGUCUCUGAUUCCUUUAGAGUGAUCUGUAGCAUCAGUCAGUGUUCCCUAACUGGACUCCACGUUUUUCCAUUCCCAGUCUUGAAAGGUGUGAUUCUUUUAAGUCUCCUACGUCCCCACUUUUUUCUGUUCCCCUCUUCUUUCCACUUCCCUUCUCCACCCUCUUUGGCUACCUAAAUCAGACCUAUCCUUUACUACCUGUAAAUCUCCAGAUGCCCCCACUGGAAGUGAGCACGCCUUUUCCAACAUCCACAUUUUAUUUAUGCAGCCUAUAGUACAUGUGUUUGCAGCCUAUAGUACAUUUGAUCUUGUGUUACAGUCAUUUAGGUGAAUGUUGUAUCUUCCCUGCUAGAGUGCAAGCUCCUUCAGCCCAGAGACCAUGAUUAAUUUUGUUUUGUGUUUGUCACAAAGGCCAAGAAUUGUGCCUAGAACAAACAUAGCCUUGUUGAAUGGGAUGGGACACAUAAACAGUGGAGAGGUAUUUGGCAGCAAACUGACCAAACCUUUUGAGUUUGGAUGAGAGUUUUGGAGCAAAGGUAUCCUGAAUCCUGUAAUAUUAAUAGCAAUAUAAUCUCAAGGCAUUUUUUAUAGUUGAGAGAAGUGGAAUCUACAGACAGAUGUUCUCCAUAGGCCAAAGAAUACUGCUAAAGUUAUUUGCAACAAUAUUUUUUUCUUUUGCAAGAAAAAAUGUUAUGAGGAAACAUAGCUAAGUUUUCACAUGGAAACGCAUAUGGAAAGGAUGGCUAAUCAUCCAUUGAUCUAUUCUUCCAUGCUAAUGAAUUCGACCAGCAGCAGUAAUAAUCAUGGAAUCUAGAGGAUAAUAGAAGUAAA